AUAUUGAUCUGUAGUUUUACCCACAUCUACUUUAUGAAUGAGUGAACAUGACAACAUUAAAAACAGACCCAGAGUUAAACUGUCACAUGUGUUUUAUUCAACAUGAUACACAAGUUACUCAUCAGGUAGUAACAGAUUACUCUGAUUCAUCAGUUGUAGUAAUAGAUUACUCUGAUUCAUCAGGUAGUAACAGAUUACUCUUGUAUUUUAAACUCAGUAGGUUUGUUUUUGACACAGGUGACCAGGAUUUUCUUCUCCACCUCCUCCACCGUGUACUGACAGUUGGGAGGCUUGUUAUGAGCAGGAUCAACUUUACACUCAACCAGUUUAAAGUUCUCUUU